GAUGAACGCUGGCGGCGUGCCUAAUACAUGCAAGUCGAGCGAAUGGAUUAAGAGCUUGCUCUUAUGAAGUUAGCGGCGGACGGGUGAGUAACACGUGGGUAACCUGCCCAUAAGACUGGGAUAACUCCGGGAAACCGGGGCUAAUACCGGAUAACAUUUUGAACCGCAGGGUUCGAAAUUGAAAGGCGGCUUCGGCUGUCACUUAUGGAUGGACCCGCGUCGCAUUAGCUAGUUGGUGAGGUAACGGCUCACCAAGGCAACGAAGCGUAGCCGACCUGGGAGGGUGAUCGGGCACACUGGGACUGAGACACGGCCCAGACUCCUACGGGAGGCAGCAGUAGGGAAUCUUCCGCAAUGGACGAAAGUCUGACGGAGCAACGCCGCGUGAGUGAUGAAGGCUUUCGGGUCGUAAAACUCUGUUGUUAGGGAAGAACAAGUGUUAGUUGAAUAAGCUGGCACCUUGACGGUACCUAACCAGAAAGCCACGGCUAACUACGUGCCAGCCGCCGCGGUAA
rnacentral:rRNA from 1 species